ACGACUCUCGGCAAUGGAUAUCUCGGCUCUUGCAUCGAUGAAGAACGUAGUGAAAUGCGAUACUUGGUGUGAAUUGCAGAAUCUCGUGAACCAUUGAGUCUUUGAACGCAAGUUGUGCCCGAGGCCUUGUGGCCGAGGGCACGCCUGCUUGGGUGUCAU
rnacentral:rRNA from 1 species